GAUGAACGCUGGCGGCGUGCCUAAUACAUGCAAGUCGAGCGAACAGACGAGGAGCUUGCUCCUCUGACGUUAGCGGAGGACGGGUGAGUAACACGUGGAUAACCUACCUAUCAGACUGGGAUCACUUCGGGAAACCGGAGCUAAUACCGGAUAAUAUAUUGAACCGCAUGGUUCAAUAGUGAAAGACGGUUUUGCUGUAACUUAUAGAUGGAUCCGCGCCGCAUUAGCGAGUUGGUAAGGUAACGGCUUACCACGGCAACGAUGCGUAGCCGAGCUGAGAGGGUGAUCGGCCACACUGGAACUGAGACACGGUCCAGACUCCUACGGGAGGCAGCAGUAGGGAAUCUUCCGCAAUGGGCGAAAGCCUGACGGAGCAACGCCGCGUGAGUGAUGAAGGUCUUCGGAUCGUAAAACUCUGUUAUUAGGGAAGAACAAAUGUGUAAGUAACUAUGCACGUCUUGACGGUACCGAAUCAGAAAGCCACGGCUAACUACGUG
rnacentral:rRNA from 1 species